rnacentral:rRNA from 1 species
CAACUUUCAGCAACGGAUCUCUUGGCUCUCGCAUCGAUGAAGAACGCAGCGAAAUGCGAUAAGUAAUGUGAAUUGCAGAAUUCAGUGAAUCAUCGAAUCUUUGAACGCACCUUGCGCCUUUUGGCUAUUCCGAAGGGCAUGCCUGUUUGAGUAUCAUG